UUGAUUGACAAGUCCGGACUCGAGUUUGGCCAAUUUCUCUAAAAUGGUGUAAAAGACUCGAGUGCCUUCGGGCUUGAGUCCGGACUCGCCCCAGCACUAGUACCCAGCAAUAGUUGUUCCUAGAGCCCUCUUGUUGUUCCCUACCCCCUUUCUCUCUCUCUCUGGAAGCUUGUUUCGUAGAGAUUUAGACCGGGGUAUGUCGCUCAGGAUCCUCUCCAUAAGAAAAUUAUUGUUAUGAAGUUACCGUGGAGUCAAUGAACUAUGAUGUUUUUAAGCGCCUGUAAGAGCUUCAUCCCCUUUCAUCAGUCACAUAAAUCUUUUGAACUGACUGGUUGGGCAAAUACUUCGGCUAUUCUUCAAUCAUGGAAUCAUUGCCCAAACUGAGCCUACUGUUGGUUUUGUGGAUUCAUUUUUGCACAAAUUGCCCCGUGAUUCUCGGUUUUCUCAAAGUCGAACUAUUCCUAUAUAUUCAGCGAAUGCUCUAACUUCAAACCAAGACCAUCUGACUUUUGUGAUACCAAAACAAACCGGCGGCAACACAAUUCAUUUGGCCAAUAUUAAAGUGGAGGUAGUAUAGUGCAAACAAUGACUUUUAAUCCUGCAUCAUUAAUGGUUUUGUUGCUUUUGGCAGGCUGGAAUUCAGCUCACAACUGCCUCUGGAAAUCCGCCCAACAACUUCGAAACUGGUGGACCUGGAAUUGUACCUAACAUUCUUCCCAGCAUGUUCAAGGAGGUCAGGUUGAUUGAAAAUGGAACCCUUUUGAAUCCUCAGUGCGACAAUUGUCAGUUUGUCACUUACUUAUCUUCUUCAUUGUCUUACGGUAACGACGCCAAAAAGACCCAAAAGUGCAUGGAGGCCUAUUACCAGGAUGAUCUCCUUGGCGUUGUGCAAUCAAAUGAUAUAAAUAACGCAGACUUUGUGGAAAGACGUCAAAUUUUUAACUAAAUCGAUUCCUCAGACAUAUAAAGCAUAUCCCUCAAUUUUUAUGGGCCAACUACAAACCGGCAUUUUUUUCAAUGAGGAAGGCAUGCUGCCUGAUGGUUGUGAUGUUACAAUCGUUUUUACCCAGACAACUAAUGAAUUUCGAGCCUUUACCUCUGACGAGACGGAUGAUAUUGUGGUGACAUUGGUCUCACUCAAGCUGCACGUAAAAAUAUCUGCCCUUAUGGUAAGCAUGGAUUUUAAUAUUUGGGUGUCGGCAAAAAGAAGGCAAUUCUUACUUUUCACGACCACAUUUUCAAUUAUUGGGAGGAAUUCCGCAAUUUUUUAUAGUGGUAGUUUGUUCUGGAGGUACUCUAAUCCUCAAAAGAUCUACUACGUCUUUUUCAUUGAAGGUAUAUGAAAGUUAGUUAAAGUUUCUCAUUUAUUAAGAUAAGGCUGUGUACCAACUAAUCUGCCAGGUGAUAACUUUGUUGGAAGGAGGACAAAAACUUCUUACAAGUUAUCCUGCAAGUGGCAGGAUGCGUCAGCUUUGACCAGUCAGAACAGACGGCAGAUGGGAAGGGGCCAAUGAGCCUACAUCAACUGCAUUCAUCAAGGGUAUUCGGAUGACUAUCAAUGGUUCGUCCAUUGUUUCAUUGACGACCAAAGGAAGCGAGGAUGAUGAUGAGAUCGCUUUUGCCCGGUGGCAAAUUUUCAACACAUUUUUAGCUUCGCCCUUUACAUCCGGGAUAAGAUAUGAAGAUUUGAUAAAUGGAUGUUACGUUUGGUGUGCGGAUAUACAUAAGUACCAGUCUCGAGAGCAAUCUUGACUAUCUAAUUCCAACAGUCUUAGAUGGUAUGAUACGGUUAGAAGUUGAGUUCUCAGCUCCACUCGGUACGUUGAUUUUACGACACACACAUACGUACGUGCACAUCCCUUCCAACAGCCAUCGCAUCUAAUCCACCUUGGUCUCUGUCAUUUUUUCUCCAGGUCAACAACACCCCAGCCUUAUCGAGAUUGGACGUGAGCGAUCCAUUUCGUUGUCUUAUCCCGUAUAAGAAGAAAACAACGACGACUAUUGACAAACGGAAAUUUAGUAAAAACACAUGAUUUACCUGGUGAUAGUGGUUUUUAUUUAAUCGAUGCGAAACAAUCAACAGUAGACCGACUAAGUACGUAAAUGUAAAAAAGAAAUAUUUGAUGUUCGGUUGGUAAAAUAAAACUUCGAAACAUUAAAUCCGGCGGUAGGUUUGAGUCCAUUGCUAAAUCAAUCAUUUUGUAAUGGGC